UGUCACUGUGAACGCGAUCACAGAGACGAGCGCGUCCCAGCGAACGGACGCUGAGUUACGCCGCAGCGAACUGUCAGCGUUAAACCGGCUGAGAUGUGCUUGCCACGCUCUCGUGGCGCGAUGAAGUCAUAAAUUAAUGAACGCAAACUCACCAGAAUCAAUGAAGCGACAAACAACACCUCUAUAAUCCAACGUUUUGAAAACAGAGUUCGGCGCAGGCGCACUAAACGAUCCAGAGCAGGGGAGACUAAUCGAUCAGGAGAAAACGACGACACAGGUGGGACACACUGGGAGCUCGACAGGGCAGACCUUCAGAUCCACAUAAACCGUCCCAGAAAAGUACUUCUUGAAGUUUUCCAGCUCCCUGCCAAGAUUUUCCUUCACCACAGCGAUGAGAGGAACGUCAAGUUCCUGCAGCUGGUACUUCAGAGAGGACAGCGCAGCAGCCUCCUGGUGAGAGAGGAUCAAACAGAAUGCAUGAAAGUAAAGGAGUGGUAACUGCACAUUUGUACAUAUACUGUAUAGGACUGUCACACCUCUCUGCACAGUAGUCACCCAGGUCGCCGGACCACCAUGAUCACAGCUCCAGCCUUCUCCCAGAGAGUUUUGGCCCUGUGAUGUUCACCGCCUAAAAGGAAAAGACGAACAUUACAAAGUUUAAAAGUCACAGAUGAAGCCUAAUAAAGUUGAGAGGUCAUUCAUUUAACAUCAAGGCUUUUUGCAUUAAUGCCAUAUUUUUCCUUAUCACAAACAGGCCAUUAAAUUCACUUCAACUGCAAAUGCAUUGAGAGGAAAUGUCUAAACUUUCAGUAUAAACAGGACGACCAAGGCCUACACUUGUUUGUUUCAUUUUUUAGACUCACUGCCUCCGGUGGCCUUCAGGUCCGUUUUCUCCAACACUUCUAGGUCAGCCCAUACCGGCUUGGUCUGGAACCAGUCUGUGAUGGAGCUGAUGAGUUCUGCAAUAAAUAGGCUCACAGCUUUCAGGACCAUGGUUCCAGUCAGCAUGGCCCUAGACAUGCUCCACUGGCCACAUACAGAGAAAAACAUGUCACACAUCUGCUUUGGAAAUGCUCCACAACAGUUAGCUGGUAAAGUAAUAUGAUGGGAUGUAUGUAUUGUUAAUUUCUUAAUCUGUUAUUUUAAUCCAAACAAAUAUAAAUGUUAUAGUUCAAAGAAGGAGAAUGGCUCAGUGUAAUGUAGCCAUUUAAAACUCUGUACAUUUAAUUAGAUUAGCAACUUAAACAACAAACGCUAUAGGAAUAAAAUAGUAAUAACAUGGCAUUUACAAUAUUUACAUAAUAAUAAUAAUGUACAAAAUAAAAAGGUGCAACUCACCAGACUGCGCCUGGCUUCAAACAUGAGGGAUUCUAAUGUUUUCAGCCAGGCUCUUACCUUUAAGCGGCUGAAAUCUGACAGAUUAUCCUUAAAGUCUGCUGGGAAACAAGGCUCAAUUCAGCUGCUCAGUACCAGGGUUGAUUGCAGUGCAGAGGAUUGUUACAUCAGCAUUUAAGCAAUAUGUUUGAGUAUUGAAUUAAUAAGAUAUGUUGUGGUAUUUGACCAUUUUUUAAAAUCUGUGACACGAAUGUAAUGCACAAUUAAACAGAUAUUUACACUU